GGAGAGGUGGCAGAGUGGCUGAAUGCGACGGUUUGCUAAACCGUUGAUCGGGGUAUUCCUCGAUCCGCGGGUUCGAAUCCCGCCCUCUCCG
rnacentral:tRNA from 2 species